GCGAGGAAUAUUGGACAAUGGGCGCAAGCCUGAUCCAGCCAUGCCGCGUGCAGGAAGACGCAUCUAUGGUGUGUAAACUGCUUUUGUACGGGAAGAAACACUCCCUCGUGAGGGAGCUUGACGGUACCGUAAGAAUAAGGAUCGGCUAACUCCGUGCCAGCAGCCGCGGUAAUACGGAGGAUCCAAGCGUUAUCCGGAAUCACUGGGUGUAAAGGGUCCGUAGGCGGUUUAAUAAGUCAGUGGUGAAAGCCCAUCGCUCAACGAUGGAACGGCCAUUGAUACUGUUAGACUUGAAGUACAAGGAAGUAACUAGAAUAUGUAGUGUAGCGGUGAAAUGCUUAGAUAUUACGUGGAAUACCAAUUGCGAAGGCAGGUUACUACUUGUGGAUUGACGCUGAUGGACGAAAGCGUGGGGAGCGAACAGGAUUAGAUACCCUGGUAGUCC
rnacentral:rRNA from 1 species